UAGGGAAUCUUCGGCAAUGGGGGGAACCCUGACCGAGCAACGCCGCGUGAGUGAAGAAGGUUUUCGGAUCGUAAAGCUCUGUUGUAAGAGAAGAACGGGUGUGAGAGUGGAAAGUUCACACUGUGACGGUAUCUUACCAGAAAGGGACGGCUAACUACGUGCCAGCAGCCGCGGUAAUACGUAGGUCCCGAGCGUUGUCCGGAUUUAUUGGGCGUAAAGCGAGCGCAGGCGGUUAGAUAAGUCUGAAGUUAAAGGCUGUGGCUUAACCAUAGUAUGCUUUGGAAACUGUUUAACUUGAGUGCAGAAGGGGAGAGUGGAAUUCCAUGUGUAGCGGUGAGAUGCGUAGAUAUAUGGAGGAACACCGGUGGCGAAAGCGGCUCUCUGGUCUGUAACUGACGCUGAGGCUCGGAAGCGUGGGGAGCAAACAGGGUUAGAUACCCUGGUAGUCCACGCCGUAAACGAUGAGUGCUAGGUGUUAGGCCCUUUCCGGGGCUUAGUGCCGCAGCUAACGCAUUAAGCACUCCGCCUGGGGAGUACGACCGCAAGGUUG
rnacentral:rRNA from 1 species